rnacentral:ncRNA from 1 species
AACCUCAGGGGGUGCUGCGAAAGCGGCUGAGACGCCAGUCAGGCGAACCCUAUGAACCUGUACGGGUAAUUCCGGCGAAGGGAUGAU